rnacentral:rRNA from 1 species
UACGUAGGGGGGCAACGUUGUCCGGAAUUAUUGGGCGUAAAGAGCGUGUAGGCGGUCCGGUAAGUCAGCUGUGAAAGUCAAGGGCUCAACCCUUGAAUGCCGGUUGAUACUGUCGGGGCUAGAGUCCGGAAGAGGCGAGUGGAAUUCCCCGGUGUAGCGGUGAAAUGCGCAGAUAUCGGGAGGAACACCAAUGGCGAAGGCAGCUCGCUGGGACGGUACUGACGCUGAGACGCGAAAGCGUGGGGAGCAAACAGG